rnacentral:rRNA from 1 species
AGCCGGAGGCCAUUGCUAUCGGAGUCCGAUUUAGCCUUGCUAGUUGUGCGGGUUUAGACCCGCAGCGGAAAGCUCAGUAACACGUGGCCAAGCUACCCUGUGGACGGGAAUACUCUCGGGAAACUGAGGCUAAUCCCCGAUAACGCUUUGCUCCUGGAAGGGGCAAAGCCGGAAACGCUCCGGCGCCACAGGAUGCGGCUGCGGUCGAUUAGGUAGACGGUGGGGUAACGGCCCACCGUGCCCAUAAUCGGUACGGGUUGUGAGAGCAAGAGCCCGGAGACGGAAUCUGAGACAAGAUUCCGGGCCCUACGGGGCGCAGCAGGCGCGAAACCUUUACACUGUACGAAAGUGCGAUAAGGGGACUCCGAGUGUGAAGGCAUAGAGCCUUCACUUUUGUACACCGUAAGGUGGUGCACGAAUAAGGACUGGGCAAGACCGGUGCCAGCCGCCGCGGUAAUACCGGCAGUCCGAGUGAUGGCCGAUCUUAUUGGGCCUAAAGCGUCCGUAGCUGGCUGAACAAGUCCGUUGGGAAAUCUGUCCGCUUAACGGGCAGGCGUCCAGCGGAAACUGUUCAGCUUGGGACCGGAAGACCUGAGGGGUACGUCUGGGGUAGGAGUGAAAUCCUGUAAUCCUGGACGGACCGCCGGUGGCGAAAGCGCCUCAGGAGAACGGAUCCGACAGUGAGGGACGAAAGCUAGGGUCUCGAACCGGAUUAGAUACCCGGGUAGUCCUAGCUGUAAACGAUGUCCGCUAGGUGUGGCGCAGGCUACGAGCCUGCGCUGUGCCGUAGGGAAGCCGAGAAGCGGACCGCCUGGGAAGUACGUCUGCAAGGAUGAAACUUAAAGGAAUUGGCGGGGGAGCACAACAACCGGAGGAGCCUGCGGUUGA